GGGAAAUAGUCGGGGAGCCUUAGGGCUGAGAUCGCAUUACGAGACCCGUAGAACCUGAUUCAGUUAGCACUGACGUAGGGAACUAUUAGCACCGAUGU
rnacentral:ncRNA from 1 species